UGGGAACCAGGUGCUUGCAGCAGCUGGGUCAAAGAUUAAAAGAUGAGUGCACUACAGACAAGGGGAUUGAUGCUGGUGCAUUCAUUACUAAUGCUCAUUAGAUUUUCCACUAGACCCUUGUCAAUAAGGAAUGGCUGGGUGUUGGAGAUAAAAUGAUGGAUGAAAUAGAAUUCGUCUCCUGUCCUGUGAGGCUUAAAGUAAGGAACACGUGAAUAAACUAACUGAUGUGUCACAAUUUAUGGGAAAUACAAUGAAGAACAAGGUGAAGACACAGAGCCCUUAUCCAAGGGUGAGGCAGAAUGUCCACUGGAUUUCGGACUUGGAAAAGCUGCUGAACCUUGGAACCUCCUUUCCUUAUCUGGAAAUGGGAAAAUCAAAAAGGUGAUGUAAAAAAUACUUAACUUUCUUUGUUAUACAUAAAGUCACUCUGGAAAUCAAAAGUGCUAUAAAGUCUCAGCAAAUCGUGGUCCUUCUUUCCCUCACAUUUCCUCACAAUAUGGCUCUCUUUGUUCCAGUACAAUGUGAUGUAUAGGCAAGAAUUUGAAUAACGGUGUUGGAUUACUAGGAAGGGUCAUGUAUAACAAAAGAAAAUCCUUUUCUAAAUUCUGUUUUUAUGUUGACAGGAAAUUUCUUGUUUUGUGUUUUCUGUAAAAUGUGAAUAAUAGUACCUAUGUAGAGGUUGCUAAGAUAAAUAAUAAUAGAUGUGAAGCAAUUGUACAGU
rnacentral:lncRNA from 1 species